AUUGAACGCUGGCGGCAGGCUUAACACAUGCAAGUCGAGCGGGGAAAGGUAGCUUGCUACCUGACCUAGCGGCGGACGGGUGAGUAAUGCUUAGGAAUCUGCCUAUUAGUGGGGGACAACAUUCCGAAAGGAAUGCUAAUACCGCAUACGCCCUACGGGGGAAAGCAGGGGAUCUUCGGAUCUUGCGCUAAUAGAUGAGCCUAAGUCAGAUUAGCUAGUUGGUGGGGUAAAGGCCUACCAAGGCGACGAUCUGUAGCGGGUCUGAGAGGAUGAUCCGCCACACUGGGACUGAGACACGGCCCAGACUCCUACGGGAGGCAGCAGUGGGGAAUAUUGGACAAUGGGCGAAAGCCUGAUCCAGCCAUGCCGCGUGUGUGAAGAAGGCCUUUUGGUUGUAAAGCACUUUAAGCGAGGAGGAGGCUACUUGGAUUAAUACUCUAGGAUAGUGGACGUUACUCGCAGAAUAAGCACCGGCUAACUCUGUGCCAGCCGCCGCCGUAAAAC
rnacentral:rRNA from 1 species